rnacentral:rRNA from 1 species
AUGAUAACUUUACGGAUCGCAUAGCCUUGCGCUGGCGACGGUUCAUUCAAAUUUCUGCCCUAUCAACUUUCGAUGGUAAGGUAUUGGCUUACCAUGGUUUCAACGGGUAACGGGGAAUUAGGGUUCGAUUCCGGAGAGGGAGCCUGAGAAACGGCUACCACAUCCAAGGAAGGCAGCAGGCGCGCAAAUUACCCAAUCCCGACACGGGGAGGUAGUGACAAUAAAUACUGAUACAGGGCUCUUUUGGGUCUUGUAAUUGGAAUGAGUACAAUUUAAACCUCUUAACGAGGAACAAUUGGAGGGCAAGUCUGGUGCCAGCAGCCGCGGUAAUUCCAGCUCCAAUAGCGUAUAUUAAAGUUGUUGCAGUUAAAAAGCUCGUAGUUGAAACUUGGGCCUGGCUGGCGGGUCCGCCUCACCGCGUGCACUCGUCCGGCCGGGCCUUCCUUCUGAAGAACCUCAUGCCCUUCACUGGGCGUGCUGGGGAAUCAGGACUUUUACUUUGAAAAAAUUA